ensembl:lncRNA
UGUACCUGUAUGGUAUGCAAGCAAGCAUGAGAGAUGGAGAAAAUAGGAGAUGAGGAAAUGAUUGUAUGACUCUUAUUUUUCUUUUUUUUUUUUUCUCUAAAAGUUAAAAAAUUCCUACCCUUAUUGCAUUUGAAAUCUCUGUAUAUUAUUUUCAGUUCUCUGUCAGAAAACAUUGAUCUUGGGGAAUGAUAUAUUUUGGUGGGGAAAUGAAGCUGUCAGUGACAUUGUAUUUUGAAAAAGUGCAACUGAAGUGCUGGAUCAGGAAGGUACAACUUUAUUUCUAUUUAAAAUGGUGCUUCUGGCUUUGAAUUUAAUGCUGUAGUUAAGCUUGAAACAAAGGUUUUGGCUGGGCAAACUGAUGGUAUUUGAUGAACAGGAGUUUUUAAAGUCUGACUUUUUAUUAUAGUUGAAUUUUUUUUUCUUUUUUUAAAUACUGGAAUUUUGUAACAGAAAACAAGGGUUUUAAAAAUCUGUAUAACUGAUAAUUUUGCCACUUCAGUGACUGCUAUAUCAUCUGAAGAAUAACUGCUGAUAGGUGAGGUGAGAGACCUCCUGCCUACCCCUAGCGUCCCUGCAGUAGGAAAUGCUGUAGCAAAGUCAUCUGUCUCCUCAGAUGUCAGAAUAAGAAUCUGGAUGAAUGGAGAUAAAUAGGUUGCGCUUUUAAUUCCUACCGCAGCAAAGAAGCUCAUUGCCUCAGUCCUGAAUUCCUGUUUCUGAUGGAGAUCCAUCUGGAUACUUCUCUGUGCUUGCUGCAUUUCCAUGGUCCCGUAUCCUGCUGGCAGAAAUGAGUUGUUUGUCCAAGCAACAGCAGCAAGCUGCCGUAAAGACAUGUCAGUGCCAGCGGAUCUUCUCUGAGCAUCAAACAGCUGCAGUUUAAGUCCCUGAAUCACGGACAGAACUCAGUAUUUCUUUAUGUAAGCCUCUGAAGUGAACGUGUCACGUUUACAGAAGAGUUUCAAAGUUGGAGCAGCUCAUGUGCUUUGUUGUGCCCACCCAGGUUUUCAGCUCAGGGGAAAAGUGUCCUGGUCAGGAGGUGUAUGUGGACAAUAUCUGAAUUCUGAUCAAGCAGGAGCAACUAUGCUGCUCUUCAGUCUGUGUGAAACGGGCCCCUUUGGAACCUUCCAAGUCAUGGAGUGAUGCAACUGGCAUAUUCAGUUGCUUCCAGUUUUAGAAGAAAGGCAAAAUUCUUCAGCUGCAAUUUAGGAUUCAGAACUUUAGAGAAAUUUGAAAUUUCCUGAUGCUGUUCUGUUACCAUCCCACAGUAAUACGUCAGCUAUGGAGUUCUGUGGAAGGACAAUGAAUGUCUUUGCAAGAAAAGCAGAGGAUUCUGUAGGUAGAAGGUUGCGUAAUCUCAGCUCAGAGCCACUGAGAACAAUGAAUAAACACCGAAGAAGCAAACGAACCCAAUGGCCAUAGACUGGAUAUUCUUUUCUUCGUCUGUUUUGUUCUGAAGGAGGAAAAGUGGGGAAUGACCAUAAGUCCACCUACAGUUUUGAUCAACUCUGCAUGACUUCUUCAGUCUGCAUACCAGAGAGUAUGCAGCAUGAAGAGAGUGUCUGGACAGCUGACAAGGGGAUGUGUGGCUGCAUCUGCUUAUGUUUGGUAAGGGGAGAGCUAGUUUAAGGGAUUGGAGAAGUGCUGGAUGAAGUAACCCUGAAACCACAAGUGGAGAGUAUGAAAUGAACAGAGGGAAAUGUGCAGACUAGGAAAUGAGAGUACAGCUCAAUAGGAGACACUAGUAGUAUGGCAGUGGCCAGAAGAGAAGUGCUGAGAAGGUUUGAACUGAAGGAAUUACUAGAACUGCACUGAGGUCAAAGAGAAGUAGAAUGGUAAGGAAGGGCAAGGUCAGUGAUGUAACAGAUGAGACUUGAGACAAGAAGAGGACAGGUUCUGUUGCUUGUGAGAGCACCUGUGAGCCUCAUCCCUCUUUUGGUUUCAUUUUAAUUGCCACAAAACUUGCAGAUGAAGCAUGCUUCUUACCCAGUUGUCAUACCUGCCUUACCUUAUGGAUGAUGACUUUUUAAUAUGAGUUUAUC